rnacentral:rRNA from 1 species
AUUGAACGCUGGCGGCAGGCCUAACACAUGCAAGUCGAGCGGAGCGGCGGACGGGGGAGUAAUGCCUAGGAAUCUGCCUGGUAGUGGGGGAUAACGUCCGGAAACGGGCGCUAAUACCGCAUACUAUCAGAUGAGCCUAGGUCGGAUUAGCGAGUUGGUGGGGUAAAGGCCUACCAAGGCGACGAUCCGAAACUGGUCUGGGAGGAUGAUCAGUCACACUGGAACUGAGAAACGGUCCAGACUCCAACGGGAGGCGUCAGUGGGGAAUAUUGGACAAUGGGCGAAAGCCUGAGGCAGCCAGGCCGCGUGGGUGAAGAGGGUCUUCGGAUGUUAAGGCACGUUAAGUUGGGAGGCGUUACCAGCAGAAUAAGCACCGGCUAACUUCGUGCCAGCAGCCGCGGUAAUAC